AUUGAACGCUGGCGGCAUGCCUUACACAUGCAAGUCGAACGGCAGCGGGGACUUCGGUCCGCCGGCGAGUGGCGAACGGGUGAGUAAUGUAUCGGAACGUACCAUUCAAUGGGGGAUAACUAUCCGAAAGGAUAGCUAAUACCGCAUAUUCUGUGAGCAGGAAAGCAGGGGAUCGCAAGACCUUGCGCUGAUUGAGCGGCCGAUAUCAGAUUAGCUAGUUGGUGAGGUAAAGGCUCACCAAGGCGACGAUCUGUAGCGGGUCUGAGAGGAUGAUCCGCCACACUGGAACUGAGACACGGUCCAGACUCCUACGGGAGGCAGCAGUGGGGAAUUUUGGACAAUGGGGGCAACCCUGAUCCAGCCAUGCCGCGUGAGUGAAGAAGGCCUUCGGGUUGUAAAGCUCUUUCGGCCGGGAAAAAAUCGCAUGGGUUAAUACCCUGUGUGGAUGAUGGUACCGGAAUAAGAAGCACCGGCUAACUACGUGCCAGCAGCCGCCGUAACAC
rnacentral:rRNA from 1 species